rnacentral:ncRNA from 1 species
CAUUAUUCUCAGGGCGGGGUGGAAGUCCCCACCGGCGGUAUAUCCAUAGGUUGGAUGAGCCCGCGAGCGCUCGUGUAUCGAGGUCAGCAGAUCUGGUGAGAGGCCAGAGCCGACGGUAAUAGUCCGGAUGAGAGAGAAUAGAG